CUCUCCCAGUCGCCAAAUCGCUACUCACGGAACAACAUCAGGAGAACUCGAAGUCUGUCGAUGCUGGGGACCGCUCUUCCUUGGAGAUCCAUACUCGCAGUGCCCCGAAUGAGGCCAGCUGUGCUGCUGCAGAGGCCGCCAGAGAGGGAAUCCCUCAAAGUCGCCGCUGGAGUGGGCCGGGUACAGUUAUUACGUGGUGUAGAUACCUUAUCACUGGAGUACUGUCUUCUGAAAACGCAUCUGGUUCCCGAAAGAAAACGGUGGAGCAAAAAUUGUUGCUGAUUCGGGGGAGGAGGGCUAUGCAGGAAUAGAGAAGGGAAAAUGCUAUGGCAACAGUUUCCUGAAUUUGGAGACAUCCCCUUCUCUCCCCUGCUCUC
rnacentral:lncRNA from 1 species